rnacentral:rRNA from 1 species
CCUACGGGUGGCUGCAGUGGGGAAUAUUGGACAAUGGGCGAAAGCCUGAUCCAGCCAUGCCGCGUGUGUGAAGAAGGCCUUCGGGUUGUAAAGCACUUUCAGUGGGGAAGAAAGCCUUGGGGCUAAUACCCUCGAGGAAGGACAUCACCCACAGAAGAAGCACCGGCUAACUCCGUGCCAGCAGCCGCGGUAAUACGGAGGGUGCGAGCGUUAAUCGGAAUUACUGGGCGUAAAGCGCGCGUAGGCGGUCUGAUAAGCCGGUUGUGAAAGCCCCGGGCUCAACCUGGGAACGGCAUCCGGAAAUGGCAGGCGUGGGUGGAGGGGAGGAAGGUAGGAUUUCCCGUGUAGCGGUGAAAUGCGUAGAGAUCGGGAGGAAUACCAGUGGCGAAGGCGGCCUUCUGGACUGACACUGACGCUGAGGUGCGAAAGCGUGGGUAGCAAACAGGAUUAGAUACCCUAGUAGUC